GAUGAACGCUGGCGGCGUGCUUAAUACAUGCAAGUCGAGCGAAGCACUUUUAACGGAAUUCUCCGGAAGGAAGGUAAAGUGACUGAGCGGGCGACGGGUGAGUAACGCGUGGGUAACCUGCCUUAUACAGGGGGAUAACAGUUAGAAAUGGCUGCUAAUACCGCAUAAGCGCACAGGGCCGCAUGGCCCGGUGUGAAAAACUCCGGUGGUAUAAGAUGGACCCGCGUCUGAUUAGCUGGUUGGUGGGGUAACGGCCCACCAAGGCGACGAUCAGUAGCCGGCCUGAGAGGGUGAACGGCCACAUUGGGACUGAGACACGGCCCAG
rnacentral:rRNA from 1 species